rnacentral:lncRNA from 1 species
AAAAAAACUUACUUUACUAGGGUGUACUGCAUGUAAGGGCUUUUCCUGCUAGCAAAAUGCUUAAAGAGGAUCAUGUUACUGGUCGUCUGAGUUGUUAUUUUACAAAAUCACAGCUAUGUGGUCGGGUAAGAUUUUGAUAACUGUUUUGUGCACGUUUCUGGGGGGUGGGGGUUGGCAUUUCCCUGAGGGUUACUGAUUAGACUAAGUAAAUAUUGGUGUUUGAUAUCUCUCCUAAUGAACCUGUCCAUGAAAUAAUUAUGUUGUAAAUAUACCUGAAAAUCCAAGGGUUAGUUUUGAUAUUCUGGUGUCAGUAUGGAAGAUCUUACACAUCUAUUUAAUACUCAAAUGUUAAGGAAUGUAUGUAGAAAAAACAGUCAAGUAGUCUUUUAGUUUCCUUUGGCUGUUGCUGUACCUUCCUAUAGCUAGUGCCACCUCAUAGCUAGGGUUAGAUUGAUGCUUUGUUUCACUUGCAACUCAAAGUGAAUGGAUACAAGAACCAGACCACCUUUGUCACCUUAACUUAUUUCCUAUUGAUGUUAAACUUAACUUAGAAUGUUAGACAUAAAUAUGAUUGUUGUAUAUUUUAUACCAAG